CAGUAGCCACGGUAAUACGAAGGGGGCUAGCGUUGUUCGGAAUCACUGGGCGUAAAGCGCACGUAGGCGGACCUUUAAGUCAGGGGUGAAAGCCUGGAGCUCAACUCCAGAACUGCCUUUGAUACUGGAGGUCUCGAGUGUGGAAGAGGUUGGUGGAACUGCGAGUGUAGAGGUGAAAUUCGUAGAUAUUCGCAAGAACACCAGUGGCGAAGGCGGCCAACUGGUCCAUUACUGACGCUGAGGUGCGAAAGCGUGGGGAGCAAACAGGAUUAGAUACCCCCGUAGUCCCUGUCUCUUAUAC
rnacentral:rRNA from 1 species